rnacentral:rRNA from 1 species
UACGAAGGGGGGCUAGCGUUGUUCGGAUUUACUGGGCGUAAAGCGCACGUAGGCGGAUCGAUCAGUCAGGGGUGAAAUCCCAGAGCUCAACUCUGGAACUGCCUUUGAUACUGUCGAUCUGGAGUAUGGAAGAGGUGAGUGGAAUUCCGAGUGUAGAGGUGAAAUUCGUAGAUAUUCGGAGGAACACCAGUGGCGAAGGCGGCUCACUGGUCCAUUACUGACGCUGAGGUGCGAAAGCGUGGGGGAGCAAACAGG